CACGAACGCUGGCGGCAGGCUUAACACAUGCAAGUCGAGCGCCCCGCAAGGGGAGCGGCAGACGGGUGAGUAACGCGUGGGAAUCUACCCAUCUCUACGGAAUAGCGCAUGGAAACGUGUGCUAAUACCGUAUACGUCCUUCGGGAGAAAGAUUUAUCGGAGAUGGAUGAGCCCGCGUUGGAUUAGCUAGUUGGUGGGGUAAAGGCCUACCAAGGCGACGAUCCAUAGCUGGUCUGAGAGGAUGAUCAGCCACACUGGGACUGAGACACGGCCCAGACUCCUACGGGAGGCAGCAGUGGGGAAUAUUGGACAAUGGGCGCAAGCCUGAUCAAGCCAUGCCGCGUGAGUGAUGAAGGCCCUAGGGUUGUAAAGCUCUUUCACCGGUGAAGAUAAUGACGGUAACCGGAGAAGAAGCCCCGGCUAACUUCGUGCCAGCCGCCGCAGUAAAAC
rnacentral:rRNA from 1 species